rnacentral:misc_RNA from 1 species
UAACCAUCGCUCAGAGGUUCGCCUCGAAAGCGGAUUUGGACGUUGCCGGCGAAAGUCGGCUCGUCUCGAAAUGCAUUAGCAGAGUGUCGUAGGCACGGCGUUGAUAACCUCCACGUCGGCGUCGAAGGCUCCUCUGCCUCCAAUCGUCUUCGGACAAUCACAUCCA